rnacentral:lncRNA from 1 species
ACUGCUGGAGCCCGUCUAUCGUAGAAGUUCAUCUGGAAUCCAUCCGCUGUAGAAAUUCGGAUGGAGUCCGAUUCUUGUAGGAGUCUGGAAGGAGGCCAUUUACUGUAGAAGCUUGGAUGGAGACCGGUUACCGUGGAAGCCCGGAUAGAGACCGCUUAUUGUAAAAGCUUAGACGAAGAUCAUUUGCCGUGGAAGCCCAAAUG